rnacentral:rRNA from 1 species
GCAAGUCGAACGAGAACGGGUUAUAGUUUACUAUAACUGUCAGCUAAGUGGCGCACGGGUGAGUAAUAUAUAGGUAACGUGCCCUAGAGAAGAGGAUAACAUCUGGAAACGGUUGCUAACACUCUAUAUGCCUUUAAGUCAUAAGACUGCAAGGGAAAUAUUUAUAGCUCGAAGAUUGGCCUGUACAGUAUCAGUUAGUUGGUGAGGUAAUGGCUCACCAAGACAAUGACGCUUAACUGGUUUGAGAGGAUGAUC